GACUGCAACUGCCAACUUGUAAGCUGAUGUGACCUCAGGUCUCAGAAGAUAAGCAGGACUGGGCCUGAUCGGCACUGGGAUGGGAGACCUCUGAGGAAAACCAGGUCACUGCUGUAG
rnacentral:rRNA from 1 species